rnacentral:lncRNA from 1 species
CACGAAAGCUAACCGAGCGGGGCUGCCGCCGCCCGCCCAAAAUUUGCCCCAUCGUCGCUGCGUGCGCGGCGCGUCUUUUACGAACAGCAGGAUUAAACACGGUGCAUAAAUGAAAAACAUAUUGUGAAUAGAAAUUUGUAUUUUAUUAAGGCCGGUGAGGAAUUAGUGCUUAAUGGAGAGUGUAUAAAUCGAUAGACAGUGUGUGUAAAUCCUUAAAGGAGAAAAUUACUCUUAAAUAACCAUGAGUAACUAUAUAUAAUUGCCUCAUGUAAAGAACAAGAAGUGCACAAGGAAAAAAAAACAAAGUGUAGCGGCAGCGCGCGGCGUCUCAUCGUCAACGCGGCGUCAAGCGAAAGUAAUGGAAUGGGAACCACAGCCAUCCACCGUCGGCUCUGUGACGAAGCCAGCUGCGACGCCAGCGUCAACAGCGUGCAGACAAUCCGAAUUUCUUUGGAUGCUGUUGGACUAACGAUGUUUCGGCGGGGUUGGUGCGGUGAUGUUGAUGCUGCUGCUGGUGGGUGGUAUUGGUGUUGGUGCGGUGUUGUUUAUUGCUUUCUGUGUAGACACUCGAAAUACCAGCUAGUAGAUUCGCAAGAGAAACUGUAAAAUAACUGCAUUUGAAUGAUGUUUCGACGUCAUCACCUGCUCCUACUCCCACUACUCGUCCUCCGUCCAAGAGCAACAAACAAUUGAAUGGUAAUGAGCGUGAACCCCACCCCCAAUCCCAAUGUUUUUGCUUGUCGAUUUGUGACUGUGUGAUUCCAAUUAGAAUGUCUGAUUGGGAGAGUGUGAUGCUAGAGAGAGAGAGAGAGAGUGUGAUACUAGAGAGAGAGAGAGUCAGAGCGGUGUGGUGCGUUGCGGCACUGCCGCGGCUUCGAUAUCGAUCCGUAUCCGCACUAGAGCACAUAGCCUUUGGGCAACAUAAUCCAACGGAGCGGGAUUAGGGUUACGCAAACGUGCCACAUCCGACGCCUACGUGCAGCUUUAACUGCGACGCAGGCUCUUGCAUUACCGGUCACCGGUAAUUUGCCGACAAGGCCGGCAGAGCUGUCGCGUCUUGUUGCGAGGCAACAGCCAUCUGCUUCUGCUUCAGCGGCGUGAAAGUUUAGACUCAUUAAAUGCAGCUCCACAGCAGUGAAACUUCAGGCAUAACGGUACAACCCGGCAUCAGGCACCGCGGUAGCAGCAGCAGUGCUGUCUUGAAAUUUCCAUAUAAAGCCAAAAUCUAAAGACCACAAAUAAAACGAUGACGUUUAUCAGAUUAAAUCAGGGAAAUAAUAAACAUUUUCAGAAAACGAACUAAGGGUAGAGAAGGAGGAGAAAAUUGUGCCAAACGUAAUUUAAAUUCUAGGAAAAUUAAAAAAAAAAGUUUGCCAAAGUAACUCCAAAGCAAAGCAGAAUAUAAACUUGAACGUAUAAUGAACUAGUAGUAAACAAAAAUGGAUCGAAAAUAAUAAACCUUGAUAUUUUGGCAUUUUAAUUUAAAUUUCAAACAAAAAGAAACGAGAGAUCUUAUGCCUUGGCGGCUCUCAAAAGUGAGACUGAACGAGCAAAUAAUGGAAUGACUGUAUGCAGAUCACUCUAAAUUACUUUUAAAAAUCGCAAUAAUUAUUCACUAUUUUAAUACCUUUUUUGAUUUUGCAAAGUCAUUAAAAGGCUAUAAAUAACAAAACAAUAAAAUACGUAUUCAAAUGGACAGAAAACGGCCACCUAAGUAUUGGCGAGAAAAAAGGCUAAAUUAGUUACACUGAAACAGAGAGCAAAGUCAGGCAUGGCCGCUCUCUCUUUCUCUUUUUCUCUCUCUCUCUCUCUCUCUCUCUCUCUCUAUCUCUCUCUCUCUCUCUGUUUUGCGAGAAAGUGUUUGUAAAACCCUCAAAAGAUUUAACCAUAGACAAGAAAAAUGCUAAUGCAACCAAGCGUGAAGCUUUGUAAAGCUCUCCCAAUACCAGUGCGUAUUUUUGUACCGUUUCAACGUUUAAUCUUUAAAGUGCAACCAAGAGAAAAAAAUCAAGCAAUAAAAGAAGAAGAGCUUUGAAGAGCAAAAGCAGCAAAAUAAUAAGUGAAACCCGUAAACCAAACAUAAAGCUGGCAACUCUGCCAACCGUAGCGCAACGGCUACGGCAAACUAAGCUAAGCAGCGGCGUCAGCAUCGACGUCUGACUGCAGCCAGAGGUCGCGCUGGCAACAAAAUUGCGGUAUGUGUUCUUACCAUUCUUAAAAGAAUCUCAUAUUCCAUAUACUCAUACAUACAUAUGUAUGUAAAUAUUUUCUCUGUUUCUCUUGCAAACAUCGGCACAUAUACCACACGUGUAUACUUUUACUGUUUAGUUUGUAAUUUUGCCAAAUUGUGGGCACAAAACAGCCAAAAAUGUAAUGAAAACAGCAAAUGAAAUUAAAAUGUAGUUCAGAGUUUUGGACAGCAGCAGCAGCGCAGAAGAGCGGUCACAGCCGGGCAAGAUCAACCAUAGAAAAUUAUGCUCAGGGUCAGAGACCAACAAAAUGGACAACAUGCUCAUAUAUGGUAAAAUAUAUGUAUGUAAACUAUGGUUGAUGAAGCUUUUUCACCUUAAAUAUAGAGGAGGUUUUUUUGGGAAACUAUUUUAAUAUUUAAAAUUGUGUUUCUUAUCUUGGCAUUUAAUUUAUAAAUUCCAUAAAUACCCAAGAAUUUUUAAUGACAUCCGAAAUUUUCUGGAAUCUUCUAAGUACUUUCUCAGUAAGAGGAUUGACUUACAAUCGUAUUUUCUACUUUAAAAUAUCAACCCCUAAUUUUAAUUCAAUUUCCUCGAUCUAAAAUGCUGGGAAAGUCAUCCCCAAUUAUACAUUUUAAGCUUCAAAAAUAAACGAGAAGGGACGUGUGAGACGCUUCUUACGAGUCACAACUUUUAUACCCGGCACUCAGGACUACAUCUAGAUGUAGAAGACAUCGCCAACCACUAGAUAUCGUUCACUUUACAGAACACGUAGUAAAAACCCUACUAAAUAAAAUGCAUCAAAACAAUUUUAUCAGUUAAUCCUAUUUUCCAAUUUAUGAGAUAUUUAAAACAGCAAUAAAAUUUGUACCUUUUCCCUGCACAUUCUGUGCAAUAAUGACCGCUAGGUUUCACAGCAGAUUUUUCGAAAGUGGCGCCAUCUAUGAUCAUUUCUUAUACGCAACUUUGAUGGUCACUCUUUUUCUAAUACAGAGCGUUAAAAACCGAGUCUUGGUUUUAACUUUUAAAAAUUAGCUUUUGGCCACUGUUUCCGCAACUCCUCGCAAC